rnacentral:snoRNA from 1 species
GUGUUCAAUGAUGAUUUUAAUUAUUAUGCUUGAUUUCCUUUUGGAUAAUGAAGGCAUCGUUAGUCACUACAUGUUGUGAGACAA